UGUCCACCCUGUCAUUAUGGGGAAACUGCCCCAUAAAAAAACAUCUGAUGUUUUCAGUGACAUCACUACCACCAUUUUGUCUUUCUUCAGUGGAGGCUGAGACAUUGGCUAGUUGCAGAGAAUGAGCUCAAAAGGAGCUGAGAUAGCGAGGAGAUAUCGGGAACGUCGUGAUGCUGACCCGGACAGAAGAAGAAAGUACCUUGAGAAAGAGAGGGACAAAUGGAAAAAAGACAGAGAGACUGGAAUGAAGAAGGGUGUCAAUGAGCUUAGUGAGAGAGCGAAGAGGGCAAAAAGAAAGAAAUGGAGAGAGGCAAAAAGUCGAGACAGAGCCAGAGACAGGGCCAGUGCUUUGCUACAGUCAGAGACACCACCAGACUCCCCUGCAACUCCUGAGAAUCAGCCUGAGCCAGGGAUUUCCAGGUUAGAUCAUUGGAAGUUUAGCUGAUGACUUAUUAGAAAGUUUAGAUGUAUUUGAAAGACAAUUAUCAACUAUUUAUGUCCCCAUAAAACAACAUAUUGAUAAACUAACUCAUUAAAAUCUUACUAAAAAUCCAUAUAUAAUAAUAUACAAAUAUUUUGUGUUUCAGGCAACAGCGUCUAGGGGCAAGUGCUCGAAGAAGGUCGAAGAGGAAACUGAAAGAUCAGAUUGAAAUAUUAUAGGCACAGCUCGCAAAAGAGAAAACUAAAACUGAGAAAUAUAAGAAGAGGCUCUAUAGGGCCAAGAAAGGAAGUUUGUCUAAAUCACCACGUUCAAAAGUCAAUGCUUUGUUGGGACGUAACAAAGUGAAUUCACCCAUCAAAAGAGCUCUUAUUUUCCGUAUCCCUGAUUGAAGAUAUUAAAAGAAAAUAUGAAAAUGCAAAAACAAACAGAGAUAAGCAGUUGAUAGCAAAAGUGAUCAGUGGAAACAUUCAGAAGAAGUACAAGCUCCAAAAGCAUGCACAGACUGCUUUUGGCUACUCUAACAAGAGAGCAAAGUAUCCUGUGGAUCUUACCUACCAUGGGAGGAGGUGCGUCAGUCGAAAUGAGUUGAGGAAGAACGUUACAUCGUUUUUUCUACGAGAUGAUGUUAGUCGAAUGACGACCGGCCGCAAACAAACAGUCACACUGCUGAAGAAAAAGAUGCAGAGGAGGUUGCUUACCGAUACAAGGAAGAACUUGCAUAGGAAGUUUCUCUCUGAGCACAUUGGCCAGGUGUCAUACACAUCCUUUUGCCGUCCCAGACCCUUUUGGGUGGUAACCCCCUCUUCCUCUGACCGUGACACAUGUCUCUGCAAAAAACAUGAGAACUUGCAAUUCAUGGCCAAUGCCUUGCAGAGCCAAGGGUUGCUGUCCUCAAGAAACAUUGAGGAAAUGUCUGAAGCAACCAUGUGCGACCCGAAAGCCAAGGUAUGUGCUUACGGUGAGUGCAGUGAAUGCCUCCUAACUUGUCACCCGAUGCUGAAAAUUCCUGGGGAAGAGAACAUUCGUUUAUCUCAGUGGAUGACAGAGAAGAUCACGAAGGAUGAGAAGGUGUCAACAAUCACAGUGAAAAGGGAGAUAACAACAACGCAGCACGACCUUAACACAGAUUUCCAGGAGAGGCUUCUCCAUUUUAAACGCCAUGUCUUCAACAUUAAAUGGCAGUUUAAUGCCUACAGGGAGCUCAGGAGGAGCCUGAAGCACAACGAGUCCCUUUUGCAUAUAGAUUUUAGCGAAAAUUACUCGUGCAACUAGUACAGCCAAGAAAUACAAUCUGUGCAUUUUGGAGGCUCACACCAGCAGGCCAGUCUGCACACUGGAGUGCUCUACACUGCUGGUGGACAAGCGCCGCACACUUUCUGCUCCAUAUCACCCUCCAGAACACACAACCCUGUGGCCAUCUGGGCCCACCGUUAUCCAAUUCUGAAGGUAGUGAGAGAACGACACCCUCAAGUCAGCAUACUUCAUUUUUUCAGCGACGGGCCUGCAACACAGUAUCGACAAAAGGGAAAUUUCUUCUACCUCUCAACUGAACCCUACAAGUAUGGCUUCAAAUAAAUAACGUGGAAUUUCUUUGAGGCUAGUCAUGGGAAGGGGGCACCAGACGGUGUUGGUGGGGCCCUCAAGAGGUCAGCAGACCGAAUUGUGGCCCAUGGAGGAGACAUCCCUGAUGCCCAGAGCUUGUAUGACAAGCUGAAAAGCCUGGACACAUCUGUUGAGUUGUUCUUCGUCCCAGAGAGGGAUAUUGAAUCAAAGGCUCAGGUACCUGCAAUAGCUGCGGUAAAAGGCACUCUAAGAAUCCACCAAGCUAUCAGUCUGACACCCGGCCAGAUGAAAUACCGAGACAUUUCAUGCCUGUGUAAAAGGGAGGAAGGUGUUUUGGACUGCCCCUGCUUUAACCUUCAAGAGGUCACUCUAGCUGAUGUUCCUGUUUCAUCUGAUGAGUCCCCAGCAAGUGGAAAGGCACCAGAUAACCCUAGGAGACCAGCAAUGAUUGAGGUGAAGCACAUUGGAGAGUGGUGCGUCGUUAAUUACGACAAUGAAGCAUACCCAGGUUUCAUCAUGGAUGCAGAAGGGCACAGUGUGAAAGUUAAGUGUAUGCACCGCAAUGGCAUAAACAAGUUCCAUUGGCCAAGUCCCCGGGAGGACAUAUGUUGGUACAAUGACUGGCAAAUACUUUGCCUAAUACCAGAACCACAGGCUCUGAACAAGCGCUCAGUACAAAUUGAAGCAUCUGCUUGGAAGUAUGUGGAAGAGCAACUACAGAAAUGAGCCAUGUCUCUGCAGAAAGGGAGAGACUGUUUUGGAGACGCGUCUAAUUGAUCUCUCUGUAACAUGCUUUUUUUUCUUUUUUAAAUCAACUGUUCUCCACUUAAAAAUUGUUUUCUUCUUGUUCUACAGUUGAAUGUUUGACUUUCACUGUGCAGAAUGAUGUACAUAAUUUAACACAAGAAGGCCACAUUAAUGUUCUUUAUUCAGUGGCCGCAUGCAGGUAGAGUGGAUCAAAACCAGUCUGUUCAACUGGUCAUUUCCCCCUACAUGGGAUAGGACCUCUGACAUUUUCUUUUACAUCAUUUCCUUUAGAUGUAUUGCAUUUAUGAGGCCAUUCAAUGACAUUUCACAAUGUGUCCACCCUGUCAUGCCCAAGGUCCACCCUGUCAUGUCAUUGUCCACCCUGUCAUUUUCAUGUUUUAUGAAAAUUAAUUAAAUAUUUUACCAAAGUUA